GAUGAAGAACGUAGCGAAAUGCGAUAAGUAAUGUGAAUUGCAGAAUUCAGUGAAUCAUCGAAUCUUUGAACGCACAUUGCGCCCGCUAGUAUUCUGGCGGGCAUGCCUGUCCGAGCGUCAUUUCAACCCUCAAGCCCCCGGGCUUGGUGUUGGGGAUCGGCGAGCCUCCGCGCCCGCCGUCCCCUAAAUCUAGUGGCGGUCUCGCUGUAGCUUCCUCUGCGUAGUAGCACACCUCGCACGGGGAAACAGCGCGGCCACGCCGUUAAACCCCCAACUUCUGAACGUUUGACCUCGGAUCAGGUAGGAAUACCCGCUGAACUUAAGCAUAUCAAUAAGCGGAGGA
rnacentral:misc_RNA from 1 species